rnacentral:rRNA from 1 species
CCUACGGGAGGCAGCAGUGGGGGAUAUUGCACAAUGGGGGGAACCCUGAUGCAGCGACGCCGCGUGGGUGAAGAAGCGCCUCGGCGCGUAAAGCCCUGUCAGCAGGGAAGAAAAUGACGGUACCUGAAGAAGAAGCCCCGGCUAACUACGUGCCAGCAGCCGCGGUAAUACGUAGGGGGCAAGCGUUAUCCGGAUUUACUGGGUGUAAAGGGGGCGCAGACGGCGAUGCAAGCCAGGAGUGAAAGCCCGGGGCCCAACCCCGGGACUGCUCUUGGAACUGCGUGGCUGGAGUGCAGGAGGGGCAGGCGGAAUUCCUGGUGUAGCGGUGGAAUGCGUAGAUAUCAGGAGGAACACCGGUGGCGAAGGCGGCCUGCUGGACUGCAACUGACGUUGAGGCCCGAAAGCGUGGGGAGCAAACAGGAUUAGAUCCCCCUGGUAGUC